CUUGUGCGUGUGAGCUGCGACUGCGAGCUUGUGGUCGUCGACGUUGUCAAUGCAGUGGUGUGCUCUCUCGGAUCUUGCUGCCAUGGAAGUUGGGCCUGUAUGCGGAUUACUGGGCUGGCCCUAGGCCCACUCGGCUCGGCUGCAGCGCAUACACCAAGGGGGGGAUCGAUCAAGAACAGAACACUCGUCUCCCUCCUCCUUCAUCCUUGGGGUGUGCUGUGUUGUGAGCUGUGCGUGUGAGUUGCGGUUGUCGUGGAUGCGGUCGUGUUUGGUGUUGUCAGGUGAGAGCAGUUGGGGAUUGGAUUUUGUGGCGACCGCGCGUUGGCUCUGCGGCGUGCAAAGAUGCCACCACGGCGGUUUUCCUCUCUUCUGUUUCUUGGUUUAUUGCGUCGAUCUCUUCCUUGAUCGUGCUCCUGCUCUUGCCGCCGGCCAAUUAUCUGUCGCCGCAUUCUGCUCCUCUCUGCCCAUGCACCAUCUUGCCAUCUAGGGAUGCGUCCUCAUCUCCAUUGAGUUUGGGUGCACGGGAGGUGUUUGCUGUAUUGCCUAAGCGAGUAUACUGUGCUUAUUCAUUCAUUUGACACUGUUUUGGGACCUAUGAAUGAACGGCCUUCCAGUGUCGUAGUGGGGCUCGACUCAGUGUGCGGCGAUUACGGUGAAGUCAGGCCGCAGCGCUAGGUUUGUCUGCCCUUGGCAGUCGUUCACACAAAGCGAGGGGCGCCAAUUACGGUGGUGCUGGCUUUGCAAUAGCGCUACUAAGGCGAAAAGCUAAAGGGAGCGCAGAGGGAUCAGCUGUCGAAGCAUCUCAGAGGGAUCUCUGGUUGCAGCGGUAGCGUGCUCGGUGCCGUCCAGACUCAACGUGGUGUGGCAAAGAGGUUUGCUCAAACUGACACUGUGGCGCACAGCAAGACGGGCACUGGAUCAGCACUAGAGCAGAUACUUGUAGUUUCAUGCUGGUUUUACCAUCAAUGGUGCCACUAUUCCUCCAUCGAAAUGAAGGUAAGCAUGGGUUGCAUAGAUUAUGCAGUGAAUUUGAAUCCACCUUGCUUUUCUAGUUUUCUUUUUUGCUGUCAUAGCUGGAGAUGAACAAGGUGAUGCGCCAGUGGAAGUAACCCAUGGAGAUGAACAAGGAGAGGGAGGAAUUGCUAAUUCUUCUGGUUCCAUUGUUCUUGAACACGAAGGUGCAACUGAUCAAGAUGAGGCUAGAGGUAUUGUCUGAUUGCUACAGUGGUUACAGAUUUUGUGCAGAAGUUAAGCUGAAACUCUAGUUCAAAAUGAGUACUGCAGUAUUGUUAGUUCAAGUUCUCAACUUUUGGAGUUAUGGAUAUAUUAGUAUAAUUUGGUUUUUCUCUAUUUGAUUUUACUGUUCUAGGAAGUUGUCACCGUUUGUUUCCAAUAAACUGUCCCUACUUCAGAGUAGCAGUCAUGCUACCUAUCUUGUUUAUCUUGGUUUACAGAGGCAGGCAAGCUGGCAAUUUAUAGUACCAGUCCAUGAAUGGUCA